GUGGGGAAUUUUGGACAAUGGGCGCAAGCCUGAUCCAGCAAUGCCGCGUGCAGGAAGAAGGCCUUCGGGUUGUAAACUGCUUUUGUACGGAACGAAACGGUCCUGGCUAAUAUCCGGGGCUAAUGACGGUACCGUAAGAAUAAGCACCGGCUAACUACGUGCCAGCAGCCGCGGUAAUACGUAGGGUGCGAGCGUUAAUCGGAAUUACUGGGCGUAAAGCGUGCGCAGGCGGUGCUGUAAGACAGGCGUGAAAUCCCCGGGCUCAACCUGGGAAUUGCGCUUGUGACUGCAGUGCUGGAGUGCGGCAGAGGGGGAUGGAAUUCCGCGUGUAGCAGUGAAAUGCGUAGAUAUGCGGAGGAACACCGAUGGCGAAGGCAAUCCCCUGGGCCUGCACUGACGCUCAUGCACGAAAGCGUGGGGAGCAAACAGGAUUAGAUACCCUAGUAGUCC
rnacentral:rRNA from 1 species